rnacentral:rRNA from 1 species
GACGAACGCUGGCGGCGUGCUUAACACAUGCAAGUCGAACGAAGUGGCGGACGGGUGAGUAACGCGUAAUCAACCUGCCCUUCAGAGGGGGAAAACAGUUGGAAACGACUGCUAAUACCGCAUACUGAAGGAGGGGAUUGCGUGUGAUUGGCUAGUUGGAGGGGUAACGGCCCACCAAGGCGAUGAUCAGUAGCCGGGCUGGGAGGAUGAACGGCCAAAUUGGGACUGGGAAAAGGCCCAGACUCCUACGGGGGGGAGCAGUUGGGAAUCUUCCGAAAUGGACGAAAGUCUGACGAAGCAACGCCGGGUGAGUGAUGACGGCCCUCGGGGUGUAAAGCUCUGUUAAUCGGGACGCGGUACCGGAAUAGAAAGCCACGGCUAACUACGUGCCAGCAGCCGCGGUAAUUC